AUGUUUCGUAUUGCGUCAGAUAACAACAUUGACGAAUACGCUGAUUCGGUGUGCGAGUUCAUUAGAACGUGCGUUGAAGAUGUCGUUCCCAUAGCAACGAUUAAAACAUUCCCUAACCAGAAACCGUGGAUUGAUGGCAGCAUUCGCGUGAAACUGAAAGAGCGAACCACUGCUUUUAAUCAGGGCAAGGUGACUGGUAACAUGACCGAAUACAAACAGUGCAGCUAUUCCCUCCGCAAGGCUAUCAAACAAGCUAAGCGUCAGUAUAGAGACAAAGUAGAAUCUCAAUUCAACGGCUCAGACACAAGAGGUAUGUGGCAGGGUCUACAGUCAAUCACGGACUACAAGAAAAAAAACAGCCCAGUCACGGACCAGGAUGUCUUGCUCCCAGGCAGACUAAAUAACUUUUUUGCCCGCUUUGAGGACAAUACAGUGCCACUGACACGGCCUGCAACGAAAACAUGCGGACUCUCCUUCACUGCAGCCGAGGUGAGUAAAACAUUUAAACGUGUUAACCCUCGCGAGGCUGCAGGCCCAGACGGCAUCCCCAGCCGCGCCCUCAGAGCAUGCGCAGACCAGCUGGCCGGUGUGUUUACGGACAUAUUCAAUCAAUCCCUAUACCAGUCUGCUGUUCCCACAUGCUUCAAGAGGGCCACCAUUGUUCCUGGUCCCAAGAAAGCUAAGGUAACUGAGCUAAACGACUACCGCCCCGUAGCACUCACUUCCGUCAUCAUCAAGUGCUUUGAGAGACUAGUCAAGGACCAUAUCACCUCCACCCUACCUGACACCCUAGACCCACUCCAAUUUGCUUACCGCCCAAAUAGGUCCACAGACGAUGCAAUCUCAACCACACUGCACACUGCCCUAACCCAUCUGGACAAGAGGAAUACCUAUGUGAGAAUGCUGUUCAUCGACUACAGCUCGGCAUUCAACACCAUAGUACCCUCCAAGCUCGUCAUCAAGCUCGAGACCCUGGGUCUCGACCCCACCCUGUGCAACUGGGUACUGGACUUCCUGACGGGCCGCCCCCAGGUGGUGAGGGUAGGCAACAACAUCUCCACCCCGCUGAUCCUCAACACUAGGGCCCCACAAGGUGCGUUCUGA
rnacentral:lncRNA from 1 species